rnacentral:rRNA from 1 species
UACGAAGGGUGCAAACGUUGCUCGGAAUUAUUGGGCGUAAAGCGCACGUAGGCGGCUUAGUAAGUUGGAUGUGAAAUCCCUCGGCUUAACCAAGGAAGUGCAUCCAAAACUACUGAGCUUGAGUACUAAAGAGGAUCGCGGAAUUCCCGGUGUAGAGGUGAAAUUCGUAGAUAUCGGGAGGAACACCAGUGGCGAAGGCGGCGAUCUGGGUAGAUACUGACGCUGAGGUGCGAAAGCUAGGGGAGCAAACGGG